UUACGGCCAUAUAGUGUGGAAAAACCGGCUCCCGUACGAUCAACGAAAUUAAGCGACGUCGAGCCUGGCCAGUACCUAGAUGAGUGACUGCUUCGGAUUACCCGGUGCUGUAG